UACGGAAGGCAGCAGUGGGGAAUAUUGCACAAUGGGCGCAAGCCUGAUGCAGCCAUGCCGCGUGUAUGAAGAAGGCCUUCGGGUUGUAAAGUACUUUCAGUCGUGAGGAAGGUGUUAAGGUUAAUAACCUUAGCAAUUGACGUUAGCGACAGAAGAAGCACCGGCUAACUCCGUGCCAGCAGCCGCGGUAAUACGGAGGGUGCGAGCGUUAAUCGGAAUUACUGGGCGUAAAGGGCACGCAGGCGGUUAAUUAAGUUGGAUGUGAAAUCCCCGGGCUUAACCUGGGAAUGGCAUUCAAGACUGGUUAGCUAGAGUCUUGUAGAGGGGGUAGAAUUCCAUGUGUAGCGGUGAAAUGCGUAGAGGUGUGGAGGAAUACCGGUGGCGAAGGCGGCCCCUGGACAAAGACUGACGCUCAUGUGCGAAAGCGUGGGGAGCAAACAGGGAUUAGAUACC
rnacentral:rRNA from 1 species